rnacentral:tRNA from 1 species
GUCCCCAUCGUCUAGCCAGGCCUAGGACUCCAGCCUUUCAAGCUGGCAACACGGGUUCGAAUCCCGUUGGGGACGCCA